UAACAUGUAAUAUGAUCAUUGGCAAAUUCGAAAACAUGGUUAGAAAUAACAUGCUGUUUAAUAUAGAUGUCAAGGCCGCCAUUGUUUGUAAACAUUGCUUUUAAACAGCAUGCUCGGUGAAAACAAGUGAUUUUACAGGGGGUACAAACUUUCAGCAAUAGCAAAAAAUCUACAAGGCCAAGCACCUAUUUCUUUGUGAUAGUUUGCAUGCAUAGGGAGUUGCUAAAGCAGUGACAGAGUUUCUGUAGUCCGUAUAUUUGCAGGUUGUGUAGUUUGGGAUCAGAUUUAUUAGACAUAUUGCUUGUAGGACAUUGACGGCAGAAACUUGAAAUUUAGUGUGGAGUGCUACCUU